rnacentral:rRNA from 1 species
UACGUAGGGUGCGAGCGUUAAUCGGAAUUACUGGGCGUAAAGGGUGCGUAGGUGGUAUAUCAAGUCGUAUGUGAAAUCCCUGGGCUUAACCUGGGAAAGUUGUACGAGACUGGUAUGCUAGAGUACGAUAGAGGGGGGUAGAAUUCCACGUGUAGCAGUGAAAUGCGUAGAGAUGUGGAGGAAUACCGAUGGCGAAGGCAGCCCCCUGGGUUGAUACUGACACUGAGGCACGAAAGCGUGGGUAGCAAACAGG